rnacentral:rRNA from 1 species
AACGAACGCUGGCGGCAGGCUUAACACAUGCAAGUCGAACGCAUCCUUCGGGGUGAGUGGCAGACGGGUGAGUAACGCGUGGGAACGUGCCCUUCAGUUCGGGAUAACCCAGGGAAACUUGGGCUAAUACCGGAUACGUGCGAGAGCAGAAAGAUUUAUCGCUGAAGGAUCGGCCCGCGUCUGAUUAGCUAGUUGGUGGGGUAAUGGCCCACCAAGGCGACGAUCAGUAGCUGGUCUGAGAGGAUGAUCAGCCACAUUGGGACUGAGACACGGCCCAAACUCCUACGGGAGGCAGCAGUGGGGAAUAUUGGACAAUGGGCGAAAGCCUGAUCCAGCCAUUCCGCGUGAGUGAAGAAGGCCUUCGGGUUGUAAAGCUCUUUCGGCAGGGAAGAAACGCUCUGGGAUAAUACUCCGGGGUAAUGACGGUACCUGAAGAAGAAGCACCGGCUAA